GCGUAAUUAAACUCAGUCGGUAGAGCAAGAGACUCUCAAUUGCAGGGUUGUGGGUUCAAACUCCACAUUGGGCA